AGCAGUCGCCGCGGUAAUACGUAGGGUGCAAGCGUUAAUCGGAAUUACUGGGCGUAAAGCGUGCGCAGGCGGUUAUAUAAGACAGAUGUGAAAUCCCCGGGCUCAACCUGGGAACUGCAUUUGUGACUGUAUAGCUAGAGUACGGCAGAGGGGGAUGGAAUUCCGCGUGUAGCAGUGAAAUGCGUAGAUAUGCGGAGGAACACCGAUGGCGAAGGCAAUCCCCUGGGCCUGUACUGACGCUCAUGCACGAAAGCGUGGGGAGCAAACAGGAUUAGAUACCCGAGUAGUCCCUGUCUCUUAUAA
rnacentral:rRNA from 1 species